rnacentral:sRNA from 1 species
CCUGUCUUCUCUGCUUCCUCCCCCUGCAGGUCUCCAUGGUAGGAGUGCAGCUUUCUCCCCCAGUUACUUUCCAGCUCCGGGCUGGCUCAGGACCCGUGUUCCUCAGUGGCCAGGAACGUUAUGAAGCAUCAGACCUAACCUGGGAGGAGGAGGAGGAAGAAGAAGGGGAGGAGGAGGAAGAGGAGGAGGAAGAUGAUGAGGAUGAGGAUGCAGAUGUAUCUCUGGAGGAAAGCCCUGUCAAACAAGUCAAAAGGCUGGUGCCCCAGAAGCAGGCGAGCGUGGCUAAGAAAAAAAAGCUGGAAAAAGAAGAGGAGGAAAUAAGAGCCAGCGUUAGAGACAAGAGCCCUGUGAAAAAGGUGAGUAGGACCAG